rnacentral:rRNA from 1 species
GACGAAGGGGGCUAGCGUUGUUCGGAAUUACUGGGCGUAAAGCGCGUGUAGGCGGUUGUCCAAGUUGGAUGUGAAAGCCUUGAGCUUAACUCAAGAAAUGCAUUCAGGACUGGAUGACUAGAGGACCGGAGAGGAUAGUGGAAUUCCCAGUGUAGUGGUGAAAUACGUAGAGAUUGGGAAGAACACCAGUGGCGAAGGCGGCUAGCUGGACGGUACUGACGCUGAGACGCGAAAGCGUGGGGAGCAAACAGG